AAUAAGUGCAGUUUUGCACUAUUCACGUUCAACGUUUGACCGUCCGUCUUAUUUGAAAAAUUUUUAUGAUUAGUAUUUUUAUUGCUAUUAGAUGAUAAAACAUGAAUAGUACUUUAUGUGUGACUAAAUGUUUUUAAUUUUUUCAUAAAUUUUUCAAAUAAGACGGACGGUCAAACGUUAAACGUGAAUAGUGUAAAACUGCACUUAUU
rnacentral:pre_miRNA from 1 species